CAUAGCGCAUAUUUAAGAUGCUUUUAGGAAACGAGGCUCAGGGCUUUUGGCACCACUAGGUUGCUACUCAGUCGUCAGCCAGCAGAGCUCUUGAUUUCAUGCUCCAGAGAGGACACGUUACAACCUUAUUCAAAAAUGGAUAUAAUUCAUUUUUCCCUCAUCAAUCUACACAAAAUACCCGAUAAUGACAAAAGCGAAAAAUAGGUUAUUAGAAAUGUUUGUUUUAAAAAUAAAAAACAGGAAUACUUUUUUAAAUAAGGUAUUUAAAACCUUUGCUAUGAGACUUGAAAUUGAGCUCAGGUGCACCCUGUUUCCAUUGAUCAUCCUUGACAUGUUUCUACAGCUUGAUUGGAGUCCAUCUGUGGUCAAUUCAAUUGAUUGGACAUGAUUUGGAAAGGCACAUACCUAUCUAUAUAAGAGCUCCAGAGAGUCCUCUGGGGAGAACCUUCCAGAAAGACAACCAUCUCUGCAGCACUCCACCAAUCAGGCCUUUAUGGUAGUGGCCAGACGGAAGCCACUCCUCAGUAAAAGGCACAACAGCCCACUUGGAUUUUGCACAAAAGGCACCUAAAGACUCUCAGACAAGAUUAUUGGGUCUGAUGAUACCAAGAAUUAACUAUUUGGCCUGAAUGCCAAGCAUCAUGUCUGGAGGAAACCUGGCAGCAUCCCUACGGUGAAGCAUGGUGUUGGCAGCGUCAUGCUGUGGGGAUAUUUUUCUGCAGCAGGGACUGGGAGACUACUCAGGAUCAAGGAAGGCAAAGAUGAACGGCACAAAGUACUGAGUUCCUUGAUAACCUGCACUCAGGACCUUAGACUGGGGUGAAGGUUCACCUUUCACCAGGACAACGACCCUAAGCACACAGCCAAGACAAUGCAGGAGUGGCUUCGGGACAAGUCUCAAUGUCCUUGAAUGGCCCAGCCACAGCCCGGACUUGAACCGGAUCAAAUAUUUCUGGAUACCUGAAAAUAGCUGUGCAGCAAUGCUCCCCAUCCAACCUGACAGAGCUUGAGAGGAUCUGCAGAGAAGAAUGGGAGAAACUCCCCAAAUACAGGUGUACCAAGCUUGUAGUGUCAUACCCAAGACUUUAAAAACUACCUGAAUACUCCACCUGGUCGUGCUGCUGCUCCAGUUUCAACUGUUCUGCCUGCGGCUAUGGAACCAUGACCUGUUCACCGGAUGUGCUACAUUGUCCCUUCUCUCUCUCUACCACACCUGCUGUCUCUAACUCUGAAUGCUCGGCAAUGAAAAGCCAACUGACAUUUACUCCUAAGAUGCUGACCUGUUGCACCCUCUACAACCACUGUGGUUAUUAUUUGACCCUGCUGGUCAUCCAUGAACGUUUGAACAUCUUGGCCAUGUACUGUUAUAAUCUCCACCCGGCACAGCCGGAAGAGGACUGGCCACACCUAGGCUGGUUUUCUGUACAGCACUUUGACAGAUGUAAAAGGGCUUUAUAAAUGAGAUUUGAUUGAUAUUAAGGGUUACCUCAGUAGUUGGGUGAGUGAAAAUGCCCUUCUGCUCCUUGACUGAGUUCAUUCUAAAUUUAUAGUCUGUUGCUAUCCUUGUUAGGCAAUUCAGGUGUGGAUUGGUCAGUCUUUCUCUGUUUUUGUUUCACAAUGUUCAUUUUUCAAAAUGUUGCUUCACAUGAAUAAGCGCUGACAAAAUGGUCUCCUUUGGUACACACUGCUUCAGAAAUGGAUACACUGUAUCUGACACAGGACUCAAUAAAUGGGUAACACCUUA